GGGCCUGUAGCUCAGUGGUCAGAGCAGGGGACUCAUAAUCCCUUGGUCGUAGGUUCAAGUCCUACCAGGCCCA
rnacentral:tRNA from 1 species